ACCACAGCUGGAUGUGGAAGAUAAGCAGUAAGACUGCAUUGUGGAAGGUGCUGAGUCUGGAUGCUUGUGUACCACAGCUCAGUUCCUCAGGAUCCUUUCACUGAGAAAACAGUAGGCCUGUAGUGUGGAGAAGGUGCAUAUUGGGAAGGAGAAGCUACUAGCAAACUCAUGUUUCUGUUUUCCUAUGGGAUAUCUUCCUCAUAUGCAAUAAGACUGACAGAAAGGUGUAGAAUUGCUCCAGCCAUCAGUUAGUUCUGCUGUAUUGCAUUUCUGUGGGAAAGCUCUCUACUGGUGACCAUCUCCACUCCCGUGGGCUCCCUCUGCCAGAGCCUGCCAUUAUCUUCAAAUACAGAGCUUGAGAUUCCUCUUCUGAUGCAAAAUCCUGCAACUCCUUCAGAGGGAUAUUCCUCAGGGAAAAAGUAAAUAAAUAAAUAAAUAAUGACUGAAGUUAUGAAUGAAGAAUUUUACAUUUGAAGCAUAUGAGUAAUGCUGAAGAGUAAUGUAAGACUUGAAUCACUGUUACCACCAGCCACUCCCAUGUUGUGUACAUAGGUACAUUUAUAUUUAAUUUCACCAUUUUCUUGUACUCUGACAAGGCUAUAUUCAUGGCUGAGUCUAAAUUACAUUCUAAAAUUAAUUUUGAGAAUAGCAAGUCUAGGAUGCCAUUUGAACCCUCUGUUCCCAGCUUGGGGAAAAAGAAAGUCUUUCUGAAUCUUUUCUUUCCUCCAUACUGCUCUUUAUUUAGCUCUGUUCAGUUUUAGACUUUAUUGUUUUCAUGUGAGAUCUCAACAUAUUGAUCUGAAGGUCUUUAAGUGACCUCUUUUUAACUCAUCUAGCCCAAUUUCAGUGUUAGUAAUUUGAACAGGCACAAUCUGCUUGCUUCAAAUAUAUUUUGAUGUCCUCCCAUGUGAAGGAAGCCUUCAAUUUUUUUUCAUUUGCUCUUCUCUACAGAAUAUUUCAGUCACUUGACAGUGUGAAUCCUUUCUCUGUCAUAUAAACUGAUAGGCAGCCAGGUGAAAGGGUUUUACUAGGCCACCAUGCACAGCAUGCAUCUUUUGAUGCCUAUCCUUACAGUGCACAACUUUACUACUUGAGUAGGACCUUUUUAUGUUUUCAAUGGAUGACAAAAUAUGGGCUCUGUAACUCACUGGUAUCUGUAAUGAUAGCAGUGCUAGUAAUGGUAGCAAAAAGUUUCAUGGAAAAGUGCUUGAUCUCUCUUUGUUUCAUGCUAGUUCAUACUUUAAAUGUGGCAGACCUGUGCUAUUCAGAGCCCCAGAGUGACCAUACCAUAAAUAUCCAUGUCUGCUCUCUGCUUUUAUAUCUGUCUCCCUUUCAGUUACUGAUGUUUUGUUGUUGUUGCUAUUGGUAAUUUUUUGUUGUUGUUUUGUUGUUGUUUGGUUUGUUUGUUGUUUUUUAAUUCCCCAUGAACAGACAACUUCUCACAGUCUUCUUCUCACCCCUUAUCUCUUCUCUCCUAUGUACAUUGCACAAAAACAGACCUAUGGUUGCCUAUCAGUCUAGUUUAUCCACAAUGAAAUAAAGAAUUUGCAUGGAUGGUGUCAUUUUCAUGAUGGAAGAGAAUAUGGGAAGUGAACAUCAAUCAAAAAACUCAUCAGAUAUUCAGAGAAAGCAAUAGAAAACACAAAAAAAUAAAAAAUAAUACCUAACACCAGCAAAGCUUUUCAGGCAUCACAUUGUUUUUUGUUUAUUUUGACAAGUGAGGAGCAUUAAAUGUCAUAUUUCUUAUUGUUUCACAUUUCUGAGUUCCCUGGAACAUUCUGAGCUCUCUUCAUCAUCCUAUAUUGCCAGUGAAUAUAAAAGUAAAGCAAAUAUUAUCUGGCCUCUCUUCAAACUUCUUAUAAGGUAUUAAAAUGAAACAGCAACGCUCUUUUGACACUUUUAAAAGACUAUAUGUAAAUGAGUCUCAGUGUCCUCUGUGUUCUGUGCGUAUCCACUGGAUCUCUCUUUGCUCCACACAGGGUGUGAAAUUUCCACACCCUUUUGGAAGGUUACCAGAUCACACAGAAACACCUUUGUGUUCCAGAAUCAAAUGGAGAAGGUAUAAAUCAAGACACAGUCUUUCCAGUGCAGGAAAUCUGAAUUUAAAUAAAAGCAGUCUUCAGAAAGCAUAGAGUGAUGAGGACUAAAGAAACAUGUAGAACUAAUGUGUUAGAAAAUGGAGUCAUAUUUCUGGUACGUAAAUGAAUUUUAUGAAGAAAAAUAUAUCAACAGAUAACAAAGACUGUAAUAUAGAGGAAAGAAGUGGUAAUGCAGACCUUUAUAUUGCACGGAGACAGGAGAGAGAGAAUUUAGAUAACAAGAAGAAUUUUCUGCCUGUUAGUUUGAGUAGCUCUGCUGAGCUUAGCACUAUUGAAAGUCUCUAAGUCUCAGUGCUUCAUGCACAGAAAUCUCCUUUGCAUUGAAGUAGUAAAUGUUAGUACUUUAUGUCUCUCUGUACUGUUGCAAGCACAUUCUUCAAACCUAUGCUAUAAAGACCACAUAUGCAACUUGACUAAGUAGGACCAGUUGUUCACAUAGAAUGGCCAAUUAUCCUUGUCAUCUGGUUUAAAACAACCUUGUUUCUUAAUGAUGAUUGGGUAUCAUUGAGAUACACAUUAUUAUUGAAUAUAUUGUUGAUGUAAGUUAUUUGUAAGAUGUUUUUUCACUGUGAGAAAAUUGACACAAUAGUUGAUUCUUUAGAAAACCUAGCCCACCCUUCAAUGAGUUUCUCUAAUAAGAUGACUUAGCAUCACCCACCUACCAACACAAAACUCCUGAGAGCAUUGGGCUCUUACAUGGUACAGGUGUGUAGAAACAACAACAACAACAACAACAACAACAAAAAAAAGAGGGAGAGAGACUGUCGAAAUGUUAAGAAAAAUGUGGGGGCUUUUUCAUCCAAGUAGAUUAUUUAUUAAUUGGGUAGACUUGAAAACAGUGUCAGCUUUGUUAUUUACUUUAUGACAUUAUGUAUGUUGGUUAGCUUUAUAUAACCAGCCUGGGAAAAAAAAAAAAAAAAAAAAAAAAAAGACAUAAAAGACAUUCAACUUCUCACUGUUUUGUUCUGCCAUUUGUCUUCAUAAUAACUUCUGG